AUUGAACGCUGGCGGCAGGCCUAACACAUGCAAGUCGAACGAGUGGCGGACGGGUGAGUAAUGUCUGGGAAACUGCCCGAUGGAGGGGGAUAACUACUGGAAACGGUAGCUAAUACCGCAUACCAUCGGAUGUGCCCAUAUGGGAUUAGCUAGUAGGUGGGGUAAAGGCUAACCUAGGCGACGAUCCCUAGCUGGUCUGAGAGGAUGAUCAGCCACACUGGGACUGAGACACGGCCCAGACUCCUACGGGAGGCAGCAGUGGGGAAUAUUGCACAAUGGGCGCAAGCCUGAUGCAGCCAUGCCGCGUGUAUGAAGAAGGCCCUAGGGUUGUAAAGUACGUUCAGUCGGGAGGCGUUACCGGCAGAAGAAGCACCGGCUAACUCCGUGCCAGCAGCCGCGGUAAUAC
rnacentral:rRNA from 1 species